rnacentral:rRNA from 1 species
CCUACGGGGGGCAGCAGUGAGGAAUAUUGGUCAAUGGGCGCGAGCCUGAACCAGCCAAGUCGCGUGAGGGAAGACGGUCCUAUGGAUUGUAAACCUCUUUUGUCGGGGAGCAAAAGACGCCACGCGUGGCGUUCCGAGAGUACCCGAAGAAAAAGCAUCGGCAAACACCGUGCCAGCAGCCGCGGUAAUACGGGGGAUGCAAGCGUUAUCCGGAUUUAGUGGGUUUAGGGGGUGCGCAGGCGGAAGAUCAAGCCAGCGGUAAAAUUGAGAGGCUCAACCGCUACGAGCCGUUGAUACUGGUUUUCUUGAGUGAGUGAGAAGUAUGCGGAAUGCGUGGUGUAGCGGUGAAAUGCAUAGAUAUCACGCAGAACUCCGAUUGCGAAGGCAGCAUACCGGCGCUCAACUGACGCUGAUGCACGAAAGUGUGGGUAUCGAACAGGAUUAGAUACCCGGGUAGUC